rnacentral:rRNA from 1 species
GACGAACGCUGGCGGCGUGCCUAAUACAUGCAAGUUGAGCGCUGAAGGUUGGUACUUGUACCGACUGGAUGAGCAGCGAACGGGUGAGUAACGCGUGGGGAAUCUGCCUUUGAGCGGGGGACAACAUUUGGAAACGAAUGCUAAUACCGCAUAAAAACUUUAAACACAAGUUUUAAGUUUGAAAGAUGCAAUUGCAUCACUCAAAGAUGAUCCCGCGUUGUAUUAGCUAGUUGGUGAGGUAAAGGCUCACCAAGGCGAUGAUACAUAGCCGACCUGAGAGGGUGAUCGGCCACAUUGGGACUGAGACACGGCCCAAACUCCUACGGGAGGCAGCAGUAGGGAAUCUUCGGCAAUGGACGAAAGUCUGACCGAGCAACGCCGCGUGAGUGAAGAAGGUUUUCGGAUCGUAAAACUCUGUUGGUAGAGAAGAACGUUGGUGAGAGUGGAAAGCUCA